CCUGUNUUUCAAAAACAUGGCUUCUCGUUUUUAAAUUAUGUGAAGUCGUACCUGCCCAGUGAAAUUUUAACGGCCGCGGUACUCUGACCGUGCAAAGGUAGCAUAAUAAUUUGCCUUAUAAUUGAAGGCUGGAAUGAAUGGUUUGUCAAGGAUAAAACUGUCUCUGUGAAAUUUUAUAGAAUUUUAUCUUUAGGUGAAAAAGCCUAAAUUACAUUAAAAGACAAGAAGACCCUAUCGAGCUUUAAAGAAAUUUAUAAAUACUUAUAACUAAUUAGAAGUUUAAUUAUAAAAAAUUUUGGUUGGGGCAACCUGGGAGUAGAUAAAGCCUCCUUUUUUAAAAAGACUAUUUAUGUUAUGAUCCAAAAAUUUUGAUCAAAAGAAAUAGUUACCGUAGGGAUAACAGCAUAAUUUUUUUUGAGAGUUCUUAUCGAAAAAAGAGUUUGUGACCUCGAUGUUGGACCAGAAUAUCCUAAAGAUGUAGAAGUCUUUAAGGGUUGGUCUGUUCGACCAUUAAAAUUCUACGUGAUCUGAGUUCAGACCGGA
rnacentral:rRNA from 1 species